ACACAGGUGGACAGGUAGAGCAUACCAAGGCGAGUGGGAUAACUAUGGUUAAGGAACUCGGCAAAUUUCCUCCGUAACUUCGGGAUAAGGAGGACCCCAGUAGCGUGACGAGACUUGCUCUCCGAGCGUGAAGGGGUGGCACAAAAUUGAGGGAAGCGACUGUUUACCAAAAACACAGCAGCGUGCUAAGCCGUAAGGCGCUGUAUACGCUGUGACUCCUGCCCGGUGCUGGAAGGUUACGGGGAUGGGUUAGUCCUUUGGGACGAAGCUCUGAACCUAAGCCCCAGUAAACGGCGGCCGUAACUAUAACGGUCCUAAGGUAGCGAAAUUCCUUGUCGGGUAAGUUCCGACCUGCACGAAUGGAGUAACGACUUCCCUACUGUCUCAACCAUAGACCCAGCGAAAUUGAAGUACGAGUAAAGAUGCUCGUUAGCUGCAGAAGGACGGAAAGACCCCGUGGACCUUUACUAUAACUUGAUGUUGUGUUUUGUCAUAUGUUGUGUAGGAUAGGUGGGAGACAAGGAAGCAUGGACGCUAGUCUGUGUGGAGUCAUCGUUGAAAUACCACCCUGCAUAUGGUGAGGCUCUAACCUAGACCCGUUAUCCGGGUUGGGGGCAGCGUCAGGCGGGUAGUUUAACUGGGGCGGUUGCCUCCUAAAGAGUAACGGAGGCGCCCAAAGGUUCCCUCAGCCUGGUUGGCAAUCAGGCGUCGAGUGCAAUGGCAAAAGGGAGCUUGACUGCGAGACCUACAAGUCGAGCAGGAGCGAAAGCUGGGCAUAGUGAUCCGGCGGUUGCGUGUGGAAGCGCCGUCGCUCAACGGAUAAAAGGUACCCCGGGGAUAACAGGCUAAUCUUGCCCAAGCGUCCAUAGCGACGGCAAGGUUUGGCACCUCGAUGUCGGCUCAUCGCAUCCUGGGGCUGAAGCAGGUCCCAAGGGUUGGGCUGUUCGCCCAUUAAAGCGGUACGCGAGCUGGGUUCAGAACGUCGUGAGACAGUUCGGUCCCUAUCCUCUGUAGCCGUAGGUGAAUUGAGGAAAGCUGUCCCUAGUACGAGAGGACCGGGACGGACGCAGCUCUCGUGUGCCAGUUGUCCUGCCAAGGGCAUGGCUGGUUAGCGACCUGCGGAAAGGAUAACCGCUGAAAGCAUCUAAGCGGGAAGCCUCUUCCAAGAUGAAUUCACCCACAGGGUUAACCUGGUAAGGCCCGUGGUAGACCACCACGUUGAUAGGCCGGAAGUGUAAGCGUGGCAACACGUUCAGCUGACCGGUACUAAUCGGCCGAGGGCUUGAACU
rnacentral:rRNA from 1 species